rnacentral:rRNA from 1 species
GACGAACGCUGGCGGCGUGCCUAACACAUGCAAGUCGAACGGAGUCCAAGAGAGCUUGCUCUCGAACGACUUAGUGGCGAACGGGUGAGUAACACGUGAGAAACCUGCCCCAGACUCGGGGAUAACCCAGGGAAACCUGGGCUAAUACCGGAUACCCUCUAAGGCUCGCAUGGGCCACUGAGGAAAGAUUUAUCGGUCUGGGAGGGUCUCGCGGCCUAUCAGCUAGUUGGUGAGGUAACGGCUCACCAAGGCUACGACGGGUAGCUGGUUUGAGAGAACGAUCAGCCACACUGGAACUGAGACGCGGUCCAGACUCCUACGGGAGGCAGCAGUGGGGAAUCUUGCGCAAUGGGCGAAAGCCUGACGCAGCAACGCCGCGUGCGGGAUGACGGCCUUCGGUCGUAAGCGCGUUUCUUGAGGGAGUGAGCAAGGACAGUACCUCAGGAAUAAGUACUCGGCGUAACUACGUGCCAGCAGCCGCGGUAAGU